rnacentral:misc_RNA from 1 species
CAACGCUUUGUUUAAUGAACUAACAAUUCAUGCUUUUCUUUUUGUUUUCCUUUUGCAAGAAAACAAAUAAAUUUAUCAAAAGAAACCUGCAAUGUUUGAUUAAGAAAAAAAAGAUCAUUGAGAAAAUGACACCCAACUACAGACAGGAUGCACACAAAUACAAAUCGUAGCAAAAGGAAUAGGCUUUAGUCCAAAGGAAUACUCAAGAAAUUAAAUUUCAUAGGACAGCAGGUUAGUAAGUGAGCUUGAAAUAGAGGAUCAAUAGGAUGGCCAAGACAAGUGCUGCAAUUAGGGAGCCAAUGAUCCAUUUGUUCCUGUUCAUCCUUCUUGACAUGGCCGUCAAGAUCUUCUUGCUUCUGCCAAUAUUGUCAUCCACCCCAUUAAGCGCACUGUGAGCAUGUAGGAGAGCCUGGCGUUGUUGAUGCAAAUCUUGAAGUAUUGAGACACCGAGUUCUUCUGUUUCCAACAUUGUUCUUCUACUCUCCUUAAUUCUAUCAGUAGACUGAUUCAGUCUCUCUGUUGACAUCAAUAGUCUCCCUCUUUGAUCAGCAGAGACCAUCAUUGCAUCUGCAAUUCCUGAAUCCUCCAACUCAUUCCGGGCAGCCUGAUUGGCAUUGACAGAUGUGAUUCUUUUUGCUUCAUUCUUCAAAUUGUUCAGAUCAGUCUUGUACUCUCUUAACUUAGCAAGAAGCAUUCCCUUUAUAUUAGGAGGAAAACUCCUUGCCUCGAGGUCCAUCUUUCGAAUCUGGAGAGAUUUGGGUGAAUCCCACAGUAAAUUGAAGAAUGAAAAUCAAAAUGGAAAUUUAAGACAAAGAAUAGGGAUUUGACAUCACCAGCGUAUCAGCUUCAUCCAAUCCAGCCUUUAUUUCAGAAAGUUUCUGCUUCUUCAGCUCUCCUUCAAAGACACCAGCUGACGUGCAUUUCCUCGACAAAUUAGCAGAAAGAUCGCAGUAUUGGCGUUCAUAUCCCUCGAACACCUGACUCAUCUCUCUGACAGAAAGCGAUCCGAGGGAUGAAUAUAUUCUACUUGAAGGCACAGGGGAGUCGCCGGAGAAUGAUCAGAGAAGAUGUUUGGCAAGGUGAGAAAUGGAAAUCCAAUAAGCCAGUGAUCAAUGAUGGCGAUAGUAGGAUUGCAUUGGUUCCCGG